rnacentral:rRNA from 1 species
CCUACGGGUGGCAGCAGUGGGGAAUAUAGCACAAUGGGCGAAAGCCUGAUGCAGCAACGCCGCGUGAGCGAUGAAGGCCUUCGGGUCGUAAAGCUCUGUCCUCAAGGAAGAUAAUGAAGGUUCUUGAGGUGAAAGCCCCGGCUAAAUACGGGCCCGCAGCCGCGGUAAUAAGUAGGGGGCUAGCGUUAACCGGAAUUACUGGGCGUAAAGGGUGCGUUGGGGGUUGCUUAAGUCAUAGGUGAAAGGCUACGGCUCAACCGUAGUAAGACUUUGAAACUGGGGAGCUUGAGUGCAGGAGAGGAGAGUGGAAUUCCUAGUGUAGCGGUGAAAUGCGUAGAUAUUAGGAGGAACACCAGUUGCGAAGGCGGCUCUCUGGACUGUAACUGACACUGAGGCACGAAAGCGUGGGGAGCAAACAGGAUUAGAUACCCGGGUAGUC